UAAACCCAACACCCAUUCUCAUUUGCAAAUCUUCUGAUCCUUUCUCAGAACCCGUUGCUACCAUUACCAAACCUAGACAUUCUUACCCAACCCAUCACCGCCGACCAGGCGACCACGAUCCUGGAUCAAACCCAGAGCUUCUUACCCAACCCAUUACCGCCUACCACGAUCCCGGCCAUCCCGGAGCAAUCCUCGGAUGCCGCCUGUCUACUAGACCUCUCGUAGGAGAUGUUCCACGGGAUCAAGUCUGCAUGCGGGUCGAAUGCUUACCCGAGUCUCAACCGGAACAAUUGAGGUCGAAACCCUAAUCGACACAGUCGAGCAAGGCUGUCCACCAUCAGCUGUCACUAUCCGCGACGGAGCCACCGGAGCAAAGGUUCUUGUGGGAUCUGUUGAAUAGAAUUUAAACCCUCAGAGAACACAGUCAUCACCUCGCCGACACCACCACCAUAUGUAGAUUCGGUGGGGAAACCAUCCAGUGUCGUUGGCUUUGCUGUGCGAAGGAGAAGCCAUAAAUGGUUUAUGCCUAAGUUUGGUUCGAAAUAUGCUCAGGUUCACAUGAAUACUUCUGCUGCUCAAGGAUGCGUGAAGCCCUUGUUUCAUUUACAUCAGUUGGACAUAGUGACAGUGAAAGAUGAAUAGGAAAUAAUUGUCUUUAAUUCAAGCUCUAAGGUUCUUUCAGGAGAAUUUUUAUUUGAAAAAGAAUAAUAUGAAUUUUAAAAAAUGCAUGAAAAAGUUGACAUAAUUUGAUUAGAAAUUGUUAUGUUGGAUUA